ACUCAAAUGAAUUGACGGGGGCCCGCACAAGCAGUGGAUUAUGUGGUUUAAUUCGAAGCAACGCGAAGAACCUUACCAGGUCUUGACAUCCCUUGCAUAUCAUGGAAACAUGAGAAACCCUUCGGGGCAAGGAGACAGGUGGUGCAUGGUUGUCGUCAGCUCGUGUCGUGAGAUGUUGGGUUAAGUCCCGCAACGAGCGCAACCCUUACUAUUAUUUGCUACGGAAGAGCACUCUAAUGGGACUGCCGUUGACAAAACGGAGGAAGGUGGGGACGACGUCAAAUCAUCAUGCCCUUUAUGACCUGGGCUACACACGUAAUACAAUGGCACUCUAACAGAGGGUAGCUACACCGCGAGGUGAUGCCAAACCCAAAAAAGUGCCUCAGUUCGGAUUGCAGGCUGCAACUCGCCUGCAUGAAGUCGGAAUUGCUAGUAAUCGCGGAUCAUCAUGCCGCGGUGAAUACGUUCCCGGGCCUUGUACACACCGCCCGU
rnacentral:rRNA from 1 species